rnacentral:rRNA from 1 species
CGAGAAUAUUUCGCAAUGGGCGAAAGCCUGACGAAGCGACGCCGAGUGAAUGAAGAAGGCCUUCGGGUUGUAAAGUUCUGUCGCCUAAGAACAAGGGUACGAGAGUAAUAUAUUCGUACUUUGAGGGUAUUAGGAAAGGAAGCACCGGCUAACUCCGUGCCAGCAGCUGCGGUAAUACGGAGGGUGCAAGCGUUAGUCGGAAUUACUGGGCGUAAAGGGUGCGUAGGCGGAUAUGUAAGUCAGACGUG